UGGAUGAAGGUAGCCCUGAGAGUCACAGAUACUACCUCUCACGGAGAACUGUGCUUGAGAUGUUGAGAGACAGAGGCUAUUCUGUUCCAAGCUCAGAAAUCGACUUGUCUCUGCAAGAAUUUCGAGUCAUUCAUGGCCAGAACCCAGAUAUUGAUCGCCUCAAAUUUUCCGCUACUCACAAGUCAGAUCCCUCUAAAAGGAUACUGGUUAUUUUCUGUGGGACUGGUGUGCUUAAAGUUAGUUCUGUCCGCCUCAUUGCUGCUCAGAUUGUUAAUAGAGACAGUUUAACUGGUCUGAUUUUAAUCUUGCAAAACCAAAUAACAAACCAAGCUCUGAAAGCUGUGGAUCUUUUUUCUUUUAAGGUUGAGAUGUUCCAGAUUACAGACUUGCUUGUCAAUAUUACAAAGCAUUUAUUAAAACCAAAGCAUGAGGUUCUGACUGAUCGGGAAAAGGAAAAGCUCUUGAAAAAAUACAGUAUUGAAGAAAAGCAGCUUCCUCGACUGUUAAAGAAAGAUGCAAUUGCGCACUAUUAUGGACUUGAGAAGGGACAGGUGGUAAAAGUCACUCAUACUGGUGACAUUACUGAGUCGCAUGUUACUUAUCGAUGUGUCUGGUAAUUGCCUUUGUGCUGUGUUUGUAUCAUCCUUUCGAUGUUGUAGAAUUUAUUGUAUUCUUGUUUCUUGUCAUUUUGAAUGGCUCGAACUGGUUUUAGCAUUCCUAGUUCCAAUCCUGUACCUGACAAUGUCCGUAAAUAAACUUUGAAGAGUAGAUGGGAAGUGUGAAUGUAAUGUUUGUUGACAUGUUUGAAU
rnacentral:misc_RNA from 1 species